UUGAAGGAAUUUUUAGGCCCCUUUUGAGAGUCGUAUUUUGUGAGCUGACUGUGCAGGCACUGGGGCCAAGCCCUGGAGAUACACUGGGUAAGGAGAAAGUAGACUGUCUGGAUGGAGUUUUUAAUACAAGCUGGGUGCAGCCGACAUGAGGCAGCGGCCACAACGAUAAACGUUAGAUUAGACUUGUGGUAGGUGCUGUGCAGUAGGGGAACUUGGUGACUGCCCACGAAAGGCCGGCAGGGCUAUCUUGAAGGAGCGUGUGAGGAUGGUGGGACACCUCAGUGACUUUCUCGAGCAGCGCUUGGCAGCUCGGAUCCAGGCACAAGACAGCAAGUAGUUGGCUUACCGUAGGACUGGGGGUUGCCAGAAGGUUAUGUGGGCUAGGUCCUGGUGUGGGAGAGUCAGUGAAGUCCUGUCUGAGGAAGCGAUGGCUGUGCCCUCAAAAAUGAAGUGGGGCCACUGGCGAAGCAGGAAGCACAACGUGUGCAAAGGCCCAGUUGUGGGAAAGAACAUAGCGAGAACCAAAAGAGGGGCAUUGUGGCCGGAAUAUCAGGAGUGGAAAGAAGAGAGGACUGAGUAAAUGGGCAGGUAAAUGGGGGCCUUGUAGCCUUUGUUAAGAUUGUUUGUCUUUUUCUUAAAAUGCCCCUUGAGAUAUUUUAAUGGGGGAGGGGUCAUGAUGCCAGAUUUGUAGUUUUUAGGUGGGUUGGCAGAGAAAUCAGUAGGGACACGUUGCUGUAAAGCUUACUGAGAGGUGACAGUGGUUUGGACUAAGGUGGUGACAGUAGAGAUGGUGAGAAGAGAAUGGUUUGGAUUCAGGAGACGUUUAGGAGAUAAACGUGACAGUUGCUGCUGAUGGAUUACAUGUGGGCUGAUAAGGAGAGAGGCAUUCCAGCCUGGCACUGAGUUUCUAUCUCUCGCAGCCAGAUAGAUGGUGCCCUUCACUGAUAGAGAAACAGUGGAAGACAGCCAGGUGUGAGCAGGGACAGCUCUUGAAUUCACACCUGCACAUGUUGGGUGGGAAGUGCUUCUGAAAUCCCCGAGGUGAGACAUCAGGUAGGGGUUGCGUGUGUGGCUGUGUAGCUCGGAGGAGGCAAGUGGCUCAGGUAAACAUUGUGAGUCACUGGCAGUGGGUGGUAUGAGAAGCAGCGGCCUGAGCAAGAAGAGAAAGUGGCCUGGUCCGGAGCCUUUGGGAACCUAACGCACAGUGAGUGCGUAAGAAGAGGAGGAGCCUGCAGAGACUGAGGAUGUGUGGCUAGCAGGGUGCUAAGGAGAAACAGCAGAAGGGGAUCGUAUUACCUAGACUAAGAGACCCUAAAGAGUUCAAAGCAGAGGGAGCGUCAAAUGCUGCUCAGAAGCACGAUAUGGACUGAAGGAAAGCCCACUGAUGGAGGAUGAGGAGGCUUUGGUGACCACAGGGAGCGCUCUGCUGUUGGCAUGGGCUUGGUGGGAGAGGCGGAGGGAAGGGGAGUAGGUUGACACCUAUGGAUGGUGUGGCAUCCAUCUUCUCAAGAAACUUGAUUAUGAAGAAGAGGGGAGAGGGCACGGCUACAGGUGUGAGUGGGGGAGAGGAAUGGGAGAUGGGCUGAAGUUUUUUAUUAUGUUUCAUCUCAAGACUUGAAUUUAUUGAACAGUUGAUUAGAAGAACCUAAGUGCUUCCAUAGAAGAAGUGACUCUAGAAGAGAGACCACAAUUAAUCAGGUCAGGUACCCGAGAAGGUGGAAGGGGAUGAGAUAAGAGGAGAAGCGUUGCCCUUGGACAAGAGGGGACAGGCCCACAUGGAAGGGAAGAGAGACAGUGCAGUGGUCAUGGGUGUUUGGUUUGAUAGCAGGAGGUUCCCAUCUGAUGGAUCGAUGCUGUCCUUCAAGCAGAGUGUAAAGUCGUAUACUGAGACUCAAAAGGUCAGAGGUUUGCAAAUGAGUAGAGAUUUGAUAUAGUCACUGUAGAGAAUAGGAAGGUGAAUGGAUCAGGGAGAGUUAUAAAAUUUGAAGGAUGCAUUUGAAGUUGGUCAGAUGCAUCUGUGGCUUUCUCUGACAAUAGCUGGCAGCUGGGGACCUGGCACAAAACAGAGUUAUAUCAGUCUGGCUUGGGGCUUUACUAAUUGAGAGUAACAAGAAGACAAAGGCAAAGGAGAAUUCCUAGAGUGUAACUGAGAUAACAGGGCAAAAAUCUAAGCUGGAAAAAAAAGGAAGUAAUUAGAAAAGAAGGGGGAGGAGGAGCUGAUGGACUGGGAGAAAGUAGAGGAGGUCAGAGGAUGAUCGUAGUUGAAAUACAUGAACACGCUUGAAGGAAGGAGGAUAUGGUCAGAAAAUGGGACGUUUGGUGAUUUUAGAAGAGAAGCAGUUAUAAGUGCCGACUCGUCCAGGACACGUUACAGGUGUGAUGGCAGGUGGCGUGAUGGAGGAUCCCACGGGUCGUAAGGAGCCUCAGAAGUCUUGGUGUGAUGGCAGGUGGCGUGAUGGAGGAUCCCAUGGGUCAUAAGGAGCCUCAGAAGCCUUAGAGGCCCUGGUGCUUGCCAGUUAUUAACCUUGAAGUCCUUCAGGGUGGUGGCACCACCUGGGGUACAGAGGGAAGCUGCGCUAGGUGCCAAACCCUUCGCUGAAUCAGAGGAGGGCCUGGGAGCCUGAUGUCUGACAGUGGGAGUGGGAGAGGGUGUCAGCCAGAUGCUCUGGGUCUUCACAGAGCAUAGGCAUUACCCUAGGUGUUCAGUAAAAUGCACUAAUUGUAACUGUACAGCUGCUUGUAUUUUCAAGUAUUAUAUAAACCACAGACUAGUACCUUUUCAGCCUCUGGAAGUUUGCUUCAUGCCCCUUUCCAGUUGAUAACCCCGCCUUCCCUCCCCCUGCUGGUUUCAGUCAGUCAUAUUUUGAGGAACUGUUGCCUAAUAUUCACCUGUAAGCAGCUUUGCCAGUGUUUCUCUUUACUGUAAAGCCUUUUACACAAAUCAUGUCUUUUACUUUAAUGUUUCUUAUUCUUAAGAGGAUUAAGAGGAAUUAUCUAAAGAUAACUUGUAAAAAUAAUGUUUAUCAACAUUGAUAGAAACAUUAACGGGUUGAUUUUAUAUUCAUUCACUUACUGUUUAUUGAGCAUCUACCAUGUACAGCCAGCUGAGCCAGUGUGGAAAUAACAGUUUCUGAUCAUAGGGAAUGUAUGCUCUAGUGGAGAAAGAGA